CAUUCUCUCUCUCUCUCUCUCUGUUCUCCCCUCUCUCUGCGAUUUAUCGUGUUUUGCUCAUCUUCGUCUGUACUUAGUUAAUGGAUUCUUUUCGAAUCUCCGGUUUCCGAGGUUUUAGGAGAGUUCUGCUUCCUUUUCUCAUUCCAUUUUUGAUGAUCUAAGCUUUUUUUUUUUUUCCUUCAAGUGAUUGCUGAAAUUUUUCGCUUGAUAUGGAUUUUCUGCACCUUGGUGUAGUAGAAGUAAUUUUGUCAGAGCUGUGAAGCAGUAGACCUGGAUCUUGGGGAAGAAGAUGAAAGAUGAUUAAAUAGCUUAAGAAUGAUAUAGUGGGCAUGAGAAAAGUAAGAUCUUGAGCUAAACACGAACGGAUUGCAUUAGCAGUUGAUCGGAAUCGCGCUGUUUGUUUGAUCUGCUCUUACUAUUCUUGGUCAUUUGAGCUUUGUUUUGUUGAUUUCUUCUUUCAAGGUUGCAAUGCGAGGCCUUAGGUAUUCCUCUUAGGCUUUGUGAUUCAGCUGGCUAACCCUUUCCCGAAAGUUGAAGUGGCUUCUGUUUCGUUUGAGUUCUGUUAUCACGCCAUUUGAUAUGAAUAAUGAUAAGCUUGGUGGAACUUUUAUUAUUGGCAUGGGAAUGGAAGGGAAAGAUGCGACCAAACAGCUUACGGGGAAGGGGUUUGAUCAUUAAGGAUGCCGCAGAUCCAUCGGCCUCAGAUGGACGAGAAGAGAUGUUCGUACAUAUUCGGAAAUGGUGAUUGAGGGGUAGUCAAUGGGCUGGCUACUGAAAGAAAAGGUGAAGGCCAUGCAAUGGGGAGUGCUUGAAGCUGAAACCAGACUUGGGCCAGCUGAGCUGAGCCUUUUGCCACCUCUGCAUUGUAGAUUAAUCAUGGUCAAGGUUCCGCUCCCUCUACAUGAGCCUUUGGUGUCGGAAGUUUCUGCUGGAGCCGGGGAAGUCCCACUGACCAUGUAAAUGCAAAGUGGCAAUAGCAACAAGAAAGCCUCUUUGUAUUUCAGCCAUUUCUUGAGAUCGUCUCUCGGAUCCUGCAUUAUCUACAGUAGUGACUGGUGCGAUAUAUCAAUCCCAGGUUAUAUCCUUAUUUUUUAUUCUUUAGUGAGAAGUUAUUACAUAGUGAUAUUGAGUUUUCAGCACUUGCAGAAUUGAACUGAUGACACGUUUCCCCUGCUUCAAACAAUUAGGAUAAGUAAGAUGAGGGUGCAGUAAAUUCUUGAGGUCUGAAAUCCAUCCGUGCUGAUCUUAGUAGAUAUGCAGAAAUAAAAUAGAGAAGCUUGAUACAUCUUACUACUUUGUGCAAGAAUGAUACUAAUACUCGGAUAUGCAUGACAAACUUCUUUGCUGGUGCUGUUUGAAAACUUCAAUUGCUACGUUUUUGGUAUGUGGUUCACAUCCUAAGACGUUGAUUCACACAGGAUUUCAAGUAUUGCCACGUCAUAUGUAGGACCUGACAACUUGGUCAUUCAUCGUCCUUGAGUCAAAUUUCGGCAGAGCAGUCUUUACUCAUCUGAGAUUUGGGAAGUCCAGUGUUCUAUGGCUAUUACCUCAAUGGAGAAAAUGUUGAGGAAUCGGGAUCCGAUAGUGCCUCUUUAUGUAUGUGUGUGUGUGUGUGUGUGUGUAAGAAUCUAUCGUUCUUUUACUACAAAAGGAUGAGAGAUGGAAGAUCCUCUCUUCUGAAAGAGGAGUGCAUAUAGAAAAGCUUACAGAAUAAACAACUUUAGGAUCCGGUUCCUCUGCAGUUCCGCACGGAACUGAGAUGGGUUUGGUUCAGAUCAAUAGUAGGCAUUACUCCUGCUGUUGAUCCUAUGGCCUGAGAAGAUUUCGAAAUAGAACACGUUUAUUAGAGAGAGUUAGAAAUGUUCUGUUCAGACCAUUCGUGAAUCAGGCUAGUUUGGACUGUAGGCCGGACAUUCUGUGAUCCUGUAUAAGCCAAUCAGGAUUCAUAUCGUAACAUUCUCCGGUUCUCCAAAUAUACCAUGACAGGUUGAAAAAAAAAAUGUCUAUGAGACUAUGACAUUCCCAAAUUAAAUGUAUCGGAAUUGGUGUUUUGAAGGAGAGUUGGUUAUUGCAGUUGAACAAGACCAAGCAGAGCUUAUAAGGUAAGUAAUGCAUGCAAUCAAAGGAUUGGUUUGGUGACAACUUCAUAUUAUUCUAAUGAAUUGUCUUUGACUUGUUUGACACCUCAGAUCUUUACUCUUCGUCCUGCACUAUCUGUGUCUUGUUGCGGGCAAGCUGUUGUUUUCGAUGAUUGAGUCGUUUUUUUCUAUUGAAGGAGGUAAGAAGAUGGUUCAAGUCUAGAUUGUUCGGGAUAUGGAAGGUGCCCUACAAUACGGAAUCUCGUAGUCCAUUGCUAUCUAAGUGGGAAAGGGCCUCUUGCAGCCUGAACGUAUUCCGCACCUUGUUGCAGAAGGCUGAGAGAUAGCAGAAGAAAUGAUGCCUAUAUAGCCUCGAUGGCCUAGAGAUCUGCAUUGAAAUGUUCUCGACUAAUGUGUGCGGGAAGCCUCGAUGCUUUGCAAUAAAUUCAUAGCGGAGAGAUUCCAAAAAGAUGGCGAUGUCAUGUUUAAUCAGAAGAAAUGUACAUGCUUAAGAGCAGAAUUCUUAUGCAAAGUCAGAACGGUAUUUUACAUUGUGGCUUCAUUCCAUUUUUCCAUUUCAUCUCAAUCGUGUUACAUUAUUUCA